AGAUCUUGCUUGGGAAACUUAUACAACAAAAGAUACUAACGUGGAGGAACAUUACCAAAGAUGUGCAACAUGUUCCACUUUGUUUUGCUGCCAAAGGUAAACCACCACCAGCCAAUAUAUAUAGACAUGGAUGUCCAACCAAUCCCUUUUGGACUGCCAAGCCCUUGGCUUCUUCAGUAAAAUUGAGGGCCCACUACAAUUCGUUCUUGUCUUGUUGUCUUCGGACAACAGUGAAUCAUGCCAUCUUCAUCUGCCCCACGCAAAAUUGAACAUCAAAAUUCUAAGUUUUGCUCUUAUUCACUGCGCCGCCCGUCUUCGCCUCGCCCGACGUCCCGUCUUCGCCUCGCC